GCGCGGGUGGUGGAAUUGGCAGACACAUACGUUUGAGGGGCGUAUGGGGAAACUCGUGCGGGUUCAAGUCCCGCCCCGCGCA
rnacentral:tRNA from 1 species